rnacentral:rRNA from 1 species
CCUACGGGAGGCAGCAGUGGGGAAUGUUGAAAACAGGGGGAAACCCUGAUGCAGCGACGCCGCGUGAGUGAAGAAGUAUUUCGGUACGUAAAGCUCUAUCAGCAGGGAAGAAAAUGACGGUACCUGACUAAGAAGCCCCGGCUAACUACGUGCCAGCAGCCGCGGUAAUACGUAGGGGGCAAGCGUUAUCCGGAUUUACUGGGUGUAAAGGGAGCGUAGACGGCAGCGCAAGUCUGGAGUGAAAUCCCAUGGCUUAACCAUGGAACUGCUUUGGAAACUGUGCAGCUAGAGUGCAGGAGAGGUAAGCGGAAUUCCUAGUGUAGCGGUGAAAUGCGUAGAUAUUAGGAGGAACACCAGUGGCGAAGGCGGCUUACUGGACUGUAACUGACGUUGAGGCUCGAAAGCGUGGGGAGCAAACAGGAUUAGAUACCCGUGUAGUC